UGCAAGUCGAACGAUGAAGCCUAGCUUGCUAGGUGGAUUAGUGGCGAACGGGUGAGUAAUACGUGAGUAACCUACCUUUAACUCUGGGAUAAGCCUGGGAAACUGGGUCUAAUACCGGAUACGACCAAUCUCCGCAUGGGGUGUUGGUGGAAAGCGUUAUGUAGUGGUUAUAGAUGGGCUCACGGCCUAUCAGCUUGUUGGUGAGGUAACGGCUCACCAAGGCGACGACGGGUAGCCGGCCUGAGAGGGUGACCGGCCACACUGGGACUGAGACACGGCCCAGACUCCUACGGGAGGCAGCAGUGGGGAAUAUUGCACAAUGGGCGCAAGCCUGAUGCAGCGACGCCGCGUGAGGGAUGACGGCCUUCGGGUUGUAAACCUCUGUUAGCAGGGAAGAAGAGAGAUUGACGGUACCUGCAGAGAAAGCGCCGGCUAACUACGUGCCAGCAGCCGCGGUAAUACGUAGGGCGCGAGCGUUGUCCGGAAUUAUUGGGCGUAAAGAGCUUGUAGGCGGUUUGUCGCGUCUGCUGUGAAAGGCCGGAGCUUAACUCCGUGUAUUGCAGUGGGUACGGGCAGACUAGAGUGCAGUAGGGGAGACUGGAAUUCCUGGUGUAGCGGUGGAAUGCGCAGAUAUCAGGAGGAACACCGAUGGCGAAGGCAGGUCUCUGGGCUGUAACUGACGCUGAGAAGCGAAAGCAUGGGGAGCGAACAGGAUUAGAUACCCUGGUAGUCCAUGCCGUAAACGUUGGGCACUAGGUGUGGGGAACAUUCCACGUUUUCCGCGCCGUAGCU
rnacentral:rRNA from 1 species